GACAAGGUGGCUGAAUGGUUAAAGGCGACAGAUUGCAAACCUGUUCUUUGCAGGUUCAAAUCCUGUCCUUGUCU
rnacentral:tRNA from 1 species